rnacentral:rRNA from 1 species
GACAGAGGUGCCAAGCGUUAGGCGGAAUCACUGGGCUUAAAGCGUGUGUAGGCGGGUGCCUAAGUACCUUGUGAAAUCCCACGGCUCAACCGUGGAACGGCUGGGUAUACUGGGUGCCUUGGGUCAUCCAGGGGUUGCCGGAACAAAUGGUGGAGCGGUGAAAUGCGUAGAUAUCGGAAGGAACGCCGGUAGCGAAAGCGACGUGCUGGACCCCUUCUGACGCUGAGGCGCGAAAGCCAGGGGAGCGAACGGG